UGGCUCCUUCAUCUUUUCUAGUGCAGAAGCACAAGCAGCAAGAAGAGCUGGAUGUUGGGGUCCCCCUCCCCGUAGAGGAGGCUGAUGCUUAAUUGAAGGCCUUAGCAAAGAGGUGGCCACUGUAGCCCAGGUCCCAUUUUUCUGGGCCUCUUAACUCAAAGGAAUUCCUCCCCCAGGGAGAGGCACUGGAAGCUCUGCCCUAGGAGCUUUGGGCUCUCCAGCCUCACCGGCUGUUCAUUGCAGUUAUCUAAUUGUCCUGGGGCCUGUCCCCACUGCCAUCCUCAGUCCAAGGUAAGUGCCGCAGGAAGAGUAGGAUGGGUAUGCCUGGCUGCUUUCACCCACUUGGCUGCCAUCUACUGAAGGCUUUGAGGCCAGCAAGGCAUUGUUUCAUAGAAGAACAUUGGGAACAUGGAAAAUGUAAAGACAAGGGGGGAUGAUAUUCCCAGUUCAUAGAACGAGGAGACAGCUUAUAACAGAGUACUUUGACGUUCUGCAUACACGGAGUAUAACUUACCAUUCUUGUGGUCAUGGGGUUACACUGGUCGGGUGUUUGUACGUGAACUAGGGGGAGGAGCAGUGGGUGUCCAGGGUAGGAGAGGUCUCAGUGUGUGGUUGUCCUGGAGCCUGAUUACUGAAGCGCUUGGCCUUUGUAAUUUGGGUGGUUUUAAUAAGCAGAGCACACAGGAUGAUUCCUAGAACUCUAGUGAGAUGACAGCGGGGCAAGGUCCCAGCUACCCACUUGACACUGCCUAAAGUCUUAAUGGCAGUGUCUCAGGCUUCCUAUGGCCUUUUUAGGCCCCCCAGGAAUGCAGCCCACAGAGCCUCUGGAAGUGGGGCAGGCCUUGGAGGGAAGCAAGGGGUCCAAAGAGACCAGAACCUGAAGGGGGCCUGGCCUGGUGCUACCCCUGGUACCACUGCAGGCCCACCUCUCAUUGAUUGUCCAAUGAGCAUGGGAAGGGCAAAAGGGCCCGAGCGCCAUUUUCCUGGGG
rnacentral:lncRNA from 1 species